rnacentral:misc_RNA from 1 species
CAGAGUUCUUGCCCUUACGGGUAGAUCUCCCACCCUUGAAUACAUACCUUUGUUGCUUUGGCGGGCCGCGCUUGCGCUACUGGCUUCGGCUAGUACGUGCCCGCCAGAGGACCACAAACUCUGAAUGUUAGUGUCGUCUGAGUACUAUACAAUAGUUA